rnacentral:tRNA from 1 species
CGGGAUGUUCGCCGACGGCGGCGCGCCCGGCGACGGCGCGCGCGGCGGCGAGCGAGUUCACCGGUUCGGGGCCGAUCGCCUCGA